UACGUAGGGUGCAAGCGUUAUCCGGAAUUAUUGGGCGUAAAGAGCUCGUAGGCGGUCUGUCGCGUCGAGUGUGAAACCCCGAGGCUCAACCUCGGGUCUGCAUUCGAUACGGGCAGACUAGAGUUCGGUAGGGGAGUCUGGAAUUCCUGGUGUAGCGGUGAAAUGCGCAGAUAUCAGGAGGAACACCGGUGGCGAAGGCGGGACUCUGGGCCGAUACUGACGCUGAGGAGCGAAAGCGUGGGGAGCAAACAGG
rnacentral:rRNA from 1 species